AGCUUAGCUCAGUCGGUAGAGCAACGGCCUUUUAAGCCGUGGGUCGCAGGUUCGAUCCCUGCAGCU
rnacentral:tRNA from 1 species